CACUUCUAGCAUACCAAUUAUUAGAGGCACUGCCUGCCCAGUGACAUUAGUUCAACGGCCGCGGUAUCCUGACCGUGCAAAGGUAGCAUAAUCAUUUGUUCCUUAAAUAGGGACUUGCAUGAAUGGCCACACGAGGGUUUUACUGUCUCUCACUUAUAAUCAGUGAAAUUGACCUUCCCGUGAAGAGGCGGGAAUUCAAAAAUAAGACGAGAAGACCCUAUGGAGCUUUAAUUAAUUAACUCACAAACAAAUACUUAAUGUUCCCAGGAACACAAAACACUUCAGAUGAGUUAACAAUUUAGGUUGGGGUGACCUCGGAAUACAAAACAACUUCCGAGUGAUAAAGUAAAGACAAACAAGUCAAAACAUUACAUCAUUUAUUGAUCCAAUAAAAUUGAUCAACGGAACAAGUUACCCUAGGGAUAACAGCGCAAUCCUGUUUGAGAGUCCAUAUCGACAACAGGGUUUACGACCUCGAUGUUGGAUCAGGACAUCCCAAUGGUGCAGCCGCUAUUAAAGGUUCGUUUGUUCAACGAUUAAAGUCCU
rnacentral:rRNA from 1 species